rnacentral:lncRNA from 1 species
AUGUGGGCAUGCAUGUGGGUGGUGGGAGUAGGGAGCCUGGGGGCAGAGGGGGAGGGCAAGAGAGAAUCUUAAGCAAGAUUCAUACACAACAUGGAGCACAAUGGGGGCUGGAUCUCACCACCUUGAGAUCAUCACUUGAGCUGAAAUCAAGAGUCAGACACUUAACUGAACCACCAGGCACCCCCAUACUCAUGUUAAUGUGAAUAAAAACCCAAUAGCCAUUUAUACACAAGGCAAAUGUAGAUACAUCCCCAAUUGAAGGCAUCAAUAUUUUGUGGAUGAAAGACAAAAUAUUGGGAUGCCCACCAAGUCAUCUUGACUCCUGGUAUUAUUCAUAUCUUUGUGCAAUCUCUUCCCCUUGAACAUGGAAGAAACCUGUGACUUACUUCUAACCAAUAGAAUAUGGCAAAUGAUGAUUAUAUCACAUAAAAUGUAGCUGCCAUUUUGCUAGAAGAUACUAUUUUCUCUUUGCUAGCUUGUUUGGUGAAGUGAGCUUCCCUGAGGAAGCUCUUCCCAGGGGGCAAGAAACUAAGUUUGGCCUCCUCCCAGCAGCGGCCAAGAAAGCAAGCAAGACUCUCAGUCUGAAGAACCAGAAAGAACUAAAUCCUGCCAACAACCACAUGAAUCUGGAAUCAGAAUCUUCCCUGGUUGAGUAUCAGGAUUCAGCGGUCCUGGAUCGGGAAGAGGAUGGAGACGGGAGGACGGAAGUGGCGCAGAUGGAAGAAAGAGCAGGCUGUGAAGAGAAGGGGGCGCCGUCCCUCUCUUACCUCGUGCUAUUGGGCCCCCAAGUCCCCGCUGAAUGCUCCACCCACUCCCUGAGUGCCGGGGUCCCCAUCAGAGCCUCCUUCACAUAGCUCACAGGUGCAAAAUGGACACACUUCCGGUAUCUACUGCUCUCCCCCCUCACAGAUAAUUUAUCUAGUCGGCUUAGUUUUGUUUUUUUUUUCUGUGAAUUCAGUAAAAGUUUCACCUUAAUACGCUGAGUAUUUCCAGAGGCAGGCUCAUGUCUAGUUUGCCCUGACCCUUCUGCAGUGACCUGCUGAUUAAGACAGAACGAGAGAGAUCAUCUGUCCAGGGUGUGCCCCUUGGGCGAGAGUCGUGAGUGGCCACCCUUACCCAACUCGGGUUUUCCUCUGUCUUCCCCGACAAAAAAAAAGCCAUGAGAAUCCAAAUACAUUUUUUUUUUUUAAGAUUUUUUAUUUUAGAGAGAGUGCAUGCGUGGGUGGGGAGAGGGGCAGAAAGAGAGGGAGAGAGGCAGACUCCCUGCUCAUCCUGGAGCCGGGUGUGGGCUCAAUCCCAGGACCCUGAGAUCAUGACCCUAGCUGAAACCAAGAGCCCCACCUCAGCCGGUUGAGCCAUCCAGGCACCCCUCUGAAGGCAUUCUUUCCAGAGUCUGCGGCAGCCCCUCCUUUGAUGGGGAGGGAGGCCAUGGAGGUCAGGCUACGGUAGUAAAAGCAAGCCUCUAGUGAAAUACAAUAUAAUUGUUAAAUGUAGGCAGUUGCCUCUACCAGAAUCCCAGACCUUGAACCCUCCUAGCUGAAUGGACAGCUUACCUGUUAGCAUGAGAAAGAACUGAGGGCCAAGGUACCAGGAGGGAAUUUAAUACGGAUUUAUCUAUCUUAAACAGCAUGCCAGGUGUCCAGAGAGGAGCUUUAAAUGUACUAUUUCAUGUAACACCCACGACAACCCAGGGUGGUAAGCGCAGAUUACUGCUCUCAGUUUACACAUGAGGAAACUCAAAUACAAAGACUGAAAAAUAUGUCUUAGGUCUCGGUAGUGGAAUCAAUACUCAGAGAGGUUUUUGAGGGUGAUCCUUAAGGUCACAGAGAGACAGCUAACGUCCCCUUACUUGACUCCUUCCUGGACGUAAACAAAAUGACUCGGGAGACUUCAAGGUCCCCCUCUAUCCAGAGCUGCCCUGUGACACUAAGCGUCCUGUCUGGAGUUGGGGGCCUGGGACUUAAACUUCUGAGGCUUCUCAUCAUAGACUUUUCAUCUUGAAAGGGAACAGGUAGAGCAACAGGGUCUAUGCAACAGGAAUUUUUCAUUCUGUUUUUCUUUUCACUAACCUCUAACUGAAAUUUAGUAUUUCCCUCAAUUAUAAACAGAAGCAAUAAACCACAGUCUUGUUUGCAGUAUUUGUGACUUUCUUUCUUUCUUUCUUUCUUUUUUUUAAAUAUUUUAUUUAUUUAUUUGACAG